UUUGAAAACUCGACUUAAUCAAAGAUAUCUAGUGAUAUGGAGUGUAGAAAACAAAGAUUAAACAAGAAAUCGCUUAAAAGACAGAAGUUUAAGAGAUUUAGGCAAAGCAAAUUAGGGUUUGCAAAAAUAAGUUAGGGAAAUGAGAAACCUGGCUGUGAAACUCAUAUACAAUGCCAUAGAAGGCAACAUCGUACAAAGUCCACCAGAGAAAAGUCGGAAAUAGACCCAAAUAAAGCUUCAGUGACCUUUUUCAUGGUGGAAGCUGCUGGCUUCAAACAUUAGAGAGAAAACAACAAUACAAGGACCCAAUGGUUACUGGAGUUCGAGAGAAUUGAGAGAGGAGUGAGCAAGAGAGGCGAUGGUCAUCAUCAGAGAAAGUGGAGAAAACCAGAAGGUUCAAGAGAGAUGAAGGGUUAGAGAGCAUCCGUUAGAGAGAUAAAGAG
rnacentral:lncRNA from 1 species